GAUGAACGCUAGCUACAGGCUUAACACAUGCAAGUCGAGGGGAAACGAUAGGGAAAGCUUGCUUUUUCUAGGCGUCGACCGGCGCACGGGUGAGUAACACGUAUCCAACCUGCCCAUCACUUGGGGAUAACCUUGCGAAAGUAAGACUAAUACCCAAUGAUAUCUCUAGAAGACAUCUGAAGGAGAUUAAAGAAUUAUCGGUGAUGGAUGGGGAUGCGUCUGAUUAGCGUGUUGGCGGGGUAACGGCCCACCAAGGCGACGAUCAGUAGGGGUUCUGAGAGGAAGGUCCCCCACAUUGGAACUGAGACACGGUCCAAACUCCUACGGGAGGCAGCAGUGAGGAAUAUUGGUCAAUGGACGAGAGUCUGAACCAGCCAAGUAGCGUGCAGGAUGACGGCCCUAUGGGUUGUAAACUGCUUUUAUAAGAGAAUAAAGUGAGUCUCGUGAGACUUUUUGCAUGUACCUUAUGAAUAAGGACCGGCUAAUUCCGUGCCAGCCGCCGCCGUAA
rnacentral:rRNA from 1 species